rnacentral:lncRNA from 1 species
CUGCGCCGCUGCCUCCGCAUCGUCAAGAAGGUACCGUCCCCCUCCGCCCGCGUCACCCGCGUCACCCCUCCCGGCGGCUGUCGUCACCCCUCCCGGCGGCUGUCGUCACCUCCCCGCGGCCCUACGUCACCUCCCCGGGGCGGUUUGUGCCGUGGCGCCGUCGCUGCCGUUGGCAUCGGCACUCCCAGGGCUGCUCUUAGUGCCUCGCGGGUGCCCUUGUCACCUUCCUAUGGUUGUUGUCACCCCCUGGUGGCUGUUGUCACCUUAGCACAGCUGUUGUCACCUCCCCGUGGCUGUUGUCACCCUCCCUGGAGCCCUUUGUCACCUCCCCAGGGCUGUUGUCACCCUCCCCGGUGCCCUUUGUCACCUCCCCAGGUGCUGUUGUCACCCCCCAGUAGCUGUUGUCACCUCCCCGCGGCUGUUGUCACCCCCCCCCGGUGCCCUUUGUUACCUCUCUGCGGCUGUUGUCACCCCCGUCGGUGUUGACACCUGCGUGGCCAUGACGUCACCGCUUUUACCACCCCCCCAGGGGCUGUUGUCACCCCCCCGGUGGCUGUUGUCACCCUCCUGGUGGCCUUUGUC